rnacentral:rRNA from 1 species
CCUACGGGUGGCAGCAGUGAGGAAUAUUGGUCAAUGGGCGCGAGCCUGAACCAGCCAAGUAGCGUGAAGGAUGAAUGCCCUACGGGUUGUAAACUUCUUUUAUAAAGGAAUAAAGUGAGGCACGUGUGCCUUUUUGUAUGUACUUUAUGAAUAAGCAUCGGCUAACUCCGUGCCAGCAGCCGCGGUAAUACGGAGGAUGCGAGCGUUAUCCGGAUUUAUUGGGUGUAAAGGGUGCGUAGGUGGUUAAUUAAGUCAGCGGUGACAGUUUGUGGCUCAACCAUAAAAUUGCCGUUGAAACUGGUUGACUUGAGUAUCUUUGAGGUCGGCGGCAUGCGUGGUGUAGCGG